UACGUAGAUGGCAAGCGUUGUCCGGAUUUAUUGGGUUUAAAGGGUGCGUAGGCGGUUCAUUAAGUCAGCGGUGAAAUACGACAGCUUAACUGUCGAGGUGCCAUUGAUACUGGAGAACUUGAGUACUGAUGAGGUAUGCGGAAUGGACGGUAUAGCGGUGAAAUGCUUAGAUAUCAUCCAGAACACCGAUAGCGAAGGCAGCAUACUAAGGAGUAACUGACGCUGAGGCACGAAAGUAUGGGGAUCAAAC
rnacentral:rRNA from 1 species